rnacentral:tRNA from 1 species
ACUCGUAUAGUAUAAAAAUUAUUUUUAACUUCCAAUUAAAAGAUCUAACUAAAUUUAGUACGAGUU